rnacentral:rRNA from 1 species
CCCUUAGAUGUUCUGGGCCGCACGCGUGCUACACUGAGUGGAUCAGCGGGUCAGGUUGCGCGAAAGUGUUUCCUAAUCUUUAAAUCCGCUCGUGAUGGGGAUUGACGGUUGCAAUUUUCCGUCAUGAACGAGGAAUACCUUGUAAGCGCGGGUCAUCAUCCCGCGCUGAAUACGUCCCUGCCCUUUGUACACACCGCCCGUCGCUCCUACCGAUUGAGUGGUCCGGUGAGGCUUUGGGAUGUGAGCGGAAAGAGCGUUUCGCUGUUUCUGCCCGGAAAACUCAGUCGAACCUUAUCAUUUAGAGGAAGGAGAAGUCGUAACA